rnacentral:rRNA from 1 species
CAGUAGCCGCGGUAAUACGUAGGUCCCGAGCGUUGUCCGGAUUUAUUGGGCGUAAAGCGAGCGCAGGCGGUUAGAUAAGUCUGAAGUUAAAGGCUGUGGCUUAACCAUAGUACGCUUUGGAAACUGUCAAACUUGAGUGCAGAAGGGGAGAGUGGAAUUCCAUGUGUAGCGGUGAAAUGCGUAGAUAUAUGGAGGAACACCGGUGGCGAAAGCGGCUCUCUGGUCUGUAACUGACGCUGAGGCUCGAAAGCGUGGGGAGCGAACAGGAUUAGAGACCCCCGUAGUCCCUGUCUCUUAUACA